UCAAUAAGAGGUAAGUAAUCCACCCAACUUUUCUUAAAGUCAAUCACACAAGCCCUUAGCAUAUCCUUCAAGGUAUGAAUAGUUUAUUUCGCUUGUCUAUUCAUUUUAGGGUAGAAAGUGGUGAUAAAGUUUACAUUAGUACCCAAACCUUUCUGAAAUAAAUGCCAAAACUAAUAGGAGAAUUACGUACCUCGAUCUGAAAUGAUAGACACCGGUGC
rnacentral:lncRNA from 1 species